GACGAACGCUGGCGGCGUGCUUAACACAUGCAAGUCGAACGGAAAGGCCCUGCUUUUGUGGGGUGCUCGAGUGGCGAACGGGUGAGUAACACGUGAGUAACCUGCCCUUGACUUUGGGAUAACUUCAGGAAACUGGGGCUAAUACCGGAUAGGAGCUCCUGCUGCAUGGUGGGGGUUGGAAAGUUUCGGCGGUUGGGGCUGGACUCGCGGCUUAUCAGCUUGUUGGUGGGGUAGUGGCUUACCAAGGCUUUGACGGGUAGCCCGCCUGAGAGGGUGAACGGCGACAAUGGGCCUGAGGUACGGCCCAGAAGGCUACCGGAGGCAGUGGUGGGGAAUUUUGCGGAAUGGGGGGGAGUCUGAUAUAAAGAUCUCGGGUGCGGGAAGAUCGGCUUCGGGGGAUAAACCGAUUUCGCCUGUGACGAAGCGUGAGUGACGGUAAUGGGUAAAGAAGCACCGGCUAACUACGUG
rnacentral:rRNA from 1 species